UACGUAGGGUGCAAGCGUUGUCCGGAUUUAUUGGGCGUAAAAGGCUUGUAGGUGGCCACGCCAAGUCGGAUGUGAAAUCUCCCGGCUCAACUGGGAGGGGUCAUUCGAUACUGGCGGGCUCGAGGCCGGUAGGGGGAAGUGGAAUUCCCGGUGCAGUGGUGGAAUGCGUAGAUAUCGGGAGGAACACCAGUGGCGAAGGCGGCUUCCUGGACCGGUUCUGACACUGAGGAGCGAAAGCGUGGGGAGCGAUCCGG
rnacentral:rRNA from 1 species